CAGCAACUGAAAUUAUGUUAAUUUAUGUAUCAAAUGAAAGGCUCUAUUUUAUGUUGAAAACGUGGCCCUAUUGAAGAAAUUCAGUAGCUAAGUGGUUAAACGAGAUGAAUGACUUUUGGCUAUUGAUUGGUUUUUGAUGAAUAUCUUGGAAUGGAGGAAAGAUAGCGACAUGUUCAUCAUGACCUUUUUUAUGGAUCUAAUUGAGUACUAGACAAAAUUUCCUUAUCUCUAAUACGAUUCUGAGUUGGGGUCAGAUAUUGAUUCAAACGUAGUCAGGUGUCAUCUGAUCAGGUUUGGAUUCAGUAAAUUUAAUCAAAAAUAAUAGCAGCAGCAUCGAGGAGAUUCUGAUCACAUUCUGAUGGAGUGGACAUGAUCUCAGUUUGAAGCCAGCCUGAAAUAUUUCUCAUCUAAAUUUGGUUAUGCUCCCCUGACUUCACUCAGAAGUCAGAUAUUCUGAAAGUACUAUGAUCUAAAUCUGACUUGUCUAUACUCACCUAUCUAUACUUUUCAAAUGAUAUAUCUUGGAAUGGUUACGGCCACAAGCAGUAUGACAUUGCAGCCCAGUUUCUAGUCAGUUUAAUUAAUUUUUCAUUCGCUCUGGUCGAAUUGAUAUUUAUGGAAAAUGUGGUUAGAAAUCAGGA